rnacentral:tRNA from 7 species
GCCUAUCUAGCUCAGUUGGUAAAAUACAAGGCUUUAACCUUGUGGUCAUGGGUUCGAGCUCCAUAGUGGGUG